UGAACCUUGUGUAAAACUCUGAAUGGCAAAGGUAUUUCUUUUUAAUUAAGAAGGCUUCUUGAAGAUUCAAGUUGUGUUUUUUGCAGCAGCUGUGAAGGAUGGUGUGCAUGUCAACUUGAUCAGAUUGAACCACGCAAAAUAUCGAUGCUGGCUGUGUCUGUGAGGGGGUUGCCACAGGAGAUGAACAUUUGAGUCAGGGAGUUGGGAAAGCCAGAACCACCAUCAGUCUGGGUGGGCACCAUCUCAUUAGCGGCCAGCUCAGCUAGAAUAUAAGCAGGUAGAAAAUGUGCAGAGGGAGACUGGCCUCGCCUCUCAGCCUCCAUCUUCCUCCCACGCUGGAGGCUCCCUGCUCUCUGACAUCAGACUCCAGAUUCUUCGGUUUUGGGAUAUGGGCUUGCUGUCCUUGCUCCUCAGCCUGCAGAUGGACUAUUAUGGGACCUUGUGAUUGUAACCCUGACUGGUGCAGAUGGGAAGACAGAUGUAUCUGAGAUUGAUCUACAAAACUCUGAAUAUGAAUGGAAAACCUACGCAAAGUUGGGCAUGGCUUAUCUCUUCCGUGAGCAGCCCUGCUGAGACCCACUGGUUUUGGUGUCUCCAAUCAGUAUCCUUCCUGUAAUUUUAUGAUAUGACCACAGCAAAAAGAAACUGUGAAGGCAUUUAUUGUUCGCAGCUGUUUUAUGCCCUGUUGGGAGUUUGGAGAAAAAUGUUUACAAUCAAGUACUCUUGGAGAAUCCUUUAUUUGUUUGUUUGAGUCUUAUUGGGAGACAGGGUCUCACUCUGUCACGCAGCCUGAAUGACAUCAUGGUUCUCUUCAGUGUUGACCUCCUGGGCUCAAGCAAUCCUCCCACGUCGGCCUCCUCAGUAGCUGGGACUGCAGGCACACACCGCCAUGACUGGCUGAUUUUUUAAAAAAUGUUUUGAAAGAUGGGGUCUUGCUAUGCGACCCCAUCAGGCUGGUUUCAAACUUCUGGGCUCAAAUGAUCCUCCCACCUCAGCCUCCCAAAGUGCUGGGGUGGCAGGUGUGAGCCACUGCACCCCGUUGAGAAAACUUAGAGUGCUGUGAAAAAAAUAGAACAGAAACAUGCUAAUGUGCUCCCUGCUUACUCUGGACAUGAAGAAGUAGAGAGAUCCUAGCUUCAAUUCUAAGAGGGGAAAACAAGGCCUCAAUUUGGAAUAAGCACUUUCAUGGAGCAUGUCUG
rnacentral:lncRNA from 1 species